rnacentral:rRNA from 1 species
CCAGACUCCUACGGGAGGCAGCAGUGAGGAAUAUUGGUCAAUGGGCGGGAGCCUGAACCAGCCAAGCCGCGUGAGGGAAGAAGGUACAGCGUAUCGUAAACCUCUUUUGUCAGGGAACAAAGGCGGGGACUAGUCCCCGGAUGAGGGUACCUGAAGAAAAAGCAUCGGCUAACUCCGUGCCAGCAGCCGCGGUAAUACGUAGGUGGCAAGCGUUGUCCGGAUUUACUGGGUGUAAAGGGCGUGCAGCCGGGCUGACAAGUCAGAUGUGAAAUCCCGCGGCUCAACCGCGGAACUGCAUUUGAAACUGUCAGUCUUGAGUACCGGAGAGGUCAUCGGAAUUCCUUGUGUAGCGGUGAAAUGCGUAGAUAUAAGGAAGAACACCAGUGGCGAAGGCGGAUGACUGGACGGCAACUGACGGUGAGGCGCGAAAGCGUGGGGAGCAAACAGGAUUAGAUACCCUUGUACUG